GGCUGGGAGGCAGGCAAAUCCGCCUCCCGUUAAGGCUGAACCCCGACAGUACUCUGAGCCUGCGGGCAAGGAGAUAGUGGAGGUAAUCCCGCUGCCGAGAAAAGCGUCGUAGUUUGUACAACCCGCUCGUACCCCAAACCGACACAGGUGGGUGAGGAGAGUAUCCUAAGGUGCUCGAGUAAUUCAUGGCUAAGGAACUAGGCAAAUUCGAUCCGUAACUUCGGGAGAAGGAUCCCCUGGGCGCCUUCGGGCGUUNNNNNNNNNAACGGCGGCCGUAACUAUAACGGUCCUAAGGUAGCGAAAUUCCUUGUCGGGUAAGUUCCGACCUGCACGAAUGGUGUAACGAUUUGGGCACUGUCUCAGCCAUGAGCUCGGUGAAAUUGUGGUAUCGGUGAUGACGCCGAUUACCCGCAGCGGGACGAAAAGACCCCGUGAACCUUUACUACAACUUUACAUUGGCUUUACCGGAUGCAUGUGUAGCAUAGGCGGGAGACUUUGAACCCUGAUCGCUAGGUUGGGGGGAGUCGCCCAGUGAAAUACCGCCCUUGCCUCAGGUGAAUUCUAACCUCCGGGCAACGGAGGAACAGUGUAUGGUGGGUAGUUUGACUGGGGC
rnacentral:rRNA from 1 species